rnacentral:rRNA from 1 species
GACGAACGCUGGCGGCGUGCUUAACACAUGCAAGUCGAACGGAAAGGCCCUGCUUUUGUGGGGUGCUCGCGUGGCGAACGGGUGAGUAACACGUGAGUAACCUGCCCUUGACUUUGGGAUAACUUCAGGAAACUGGGGCUAAUACCGGCUAGGAGCUCCUGCUGCAUGGUGGGGGUUGGACAGUUUCGGCGGUUGGGGAUGGACUCGCGGCUUAUCAGCUUGUUGGUGGGGUAGUGGCUUACCAAGGCUUUGACGGGUAGCCGGCCUGAGAGGGUGACCGGCCACAUUGGGACUGAGAUACGGCCCAGACUCCUACGGGAGGCAGCAGUGGGGAAUAUUGCACAAUGGGCGGAAGCCUGAUGCAGCAACGCCGCGUGCGGGAUGACGGCCUUCGGGUUGUAAACCGCUUUCGCCUGUGACGAAGCGUGAGUGACGGUAAUGGGUAAAGAAGCACCGGCUAACUACGUG